rnacentral:rRNA from 1 species
UACGUAGGGAGCAAGCGUUGUCCGGAAUCAUUGGGCGUAAAGCGCGCGUAGGUGGCCUCGUAAGUCCGCUGUGAAAGUCAAAGGCUCAACCUUUGAAAGCCGGUGGAUACUGUGAGGCUAGAGUACGGAAGAGGCGAGUGGAAUUCCUGGUGUAGCGGUGGAAUGCGCAGAUAUCAGGGGGAACACCAAUAGCGAAGGCAGGUCUCUGGGCCAUAACUGACGCUGAGAAGCGAAAGCAUGGGGAGCGAACAGG